GUUUCGGUGGUCAAUCGGUGGUUGGCAAAGUGAGUAGCGGAUUUAUACUCCGCGGGUUGCAGGUUCGAAUCCUGCCGGGAUCGCCA
rnacentral:tRNA from 1 species